AGCAGCAGCUCCAGCCAUGUCACCACUGAAGCUGCUGCUGAAAGCUGGGAAGCUGAUGUGAUAAGAAUGGGAUUGCUGAUCAGUAGUACUGCAGGUCUUGCAUGUUUUACAGUGCAGCUCCGAGCAUUCAUCUUCACAGAACAGUGGAAAAAAGGAAGAUGAGACAAUGAGAUAACACAGCUUGGUAGAGCUCACCCAUCAAAACUGUUAUUUGAACAAGGCUGCAGAGUGUAAUGUGUUGCAUCUUUGCUUCUCAGAGUGAAGUACUGAAGAGUGUUAACAAA
rnacentral:lncRNA from 1 species